rnacentral:rRNA from 1 species
CCCCAAGCGGGGGGGCGGUGCUAAUUACAUGCAAGUCGAGCGAAUGGAUUAGAGCUUGCUCUUAUGAAGUUAGCGGCGGACGGGUGAGUAACACGUGGGUAACCUGCCCAUAAGACUGGGAUAACUCCGGGAAACCGGGGCUAAUACCGGAUAACAUUUUGAACCGCAUGGUUCGAAAUAUCCAGGCGGCUUCGGCUGUCACUUAUGGAUGGACCCGCGUCGCAUUAGCUAGUUGGUGAGGUAACGGCUCACCAAGGCAACGAGCGCUAGCCGACCUGAGAGGGUGAUCGGCCACACUGGGACUGAGACACGGCCCAGACUCCUACGGGAGGCAGCAGUAGGGAAUCUUCCGCAAUGGACGAAAGUCUGACGGAGCAACGCCGCGUGAGUGAUGAAGGCUUUCGGGUCGUAAAACUCUGUUGUUAGGGAAGAACAAGUGCUAGUUGAAUAAGCUGGCACCUUGACGGUACCUAACCAGAAAGCCACGGCUAACUACGUGCCAGCAGCCGCGGUAAUACGUAGGUGGCAAGCGUUAUCCGGAAUUAUUGGGCGUAAAGCGCGCGCAGGUGGUUUCUUAAGUCUGAUGUGAAAGCCCACGGCUCAACCGUGGAGGGUCAUUGGAAACUGGGAGACUUGAGUGCAGAAGAGGUUACACAUAG